CAAACAAACCCAAAAACAAAACACAAAACUAAAACCCUAUCUUCUACAAGGCAUUUUAGUGAGUUACCUGAUUCCUGUGUCUGUGAAAUACAUAGUAUUGUAUCCUCCAAGUAGAUACAGCUCUUCAUUUGUGUAUUAAAUAGUAGUGACAGUAAUCAAAUAACUACAAGACAACUGUAAAACAAUAUUGUGUCAGAUUAGAUUUGGAAAGCUGUGUUUUCCUACCCUUUUCUUUCACCCUUUUAGGUAGGAAAGCAUUAAGACAGUUUUAAAUACCAAACCGAAGGAGCAAAAGGAAGAGAAGUAAGAAGCAGAUUCUGCUCAUCCAGGAUGUGUAUUUAACUAGGAAACAGCCCCAGCUUUGCCUCACCCAGUCCAUGGGAGGCUGAGAGACUGGAAGUCCCUCCUGGGAGGAAGACCCAAGAUGGGCCAAAAAGGUUUAAGAAAGGUCACUACAAGGCAAGCACAUUGUCCUUUAUCCCUACCUUCACCUUGGAGUUUCACAUCACUGGAAGCAAGGAAUUGGUUCUGCUCCUCUGGGUGACGGACUAUGCUCAUUAAUCUUUCUUUUGGAACAGGAUUUGAAGCCAAGUACCUAAAAUCUGAGUGGUAGAAUUGUGUCCACACAUCCACAUUCUUUAUGUCCACAUUUUUUAUGUCCGCACAUCCACAUUCUUCCUGAUUACAGUAAUACUAUGCUCUUUUAGACUAGGAGCAUCUCUGGAAGAUAAAAAUAAAGGAAUGGUCCUUGCUUUUUGGUUAAGUAGGUAGUUAUCAGGAAACCAAUGUCUCUGAACACACAAGAGAUGUUCUGUUCAUGCAGGAGCUUACACUAUGUUUGUUCCUCUGAAAAGAGAGUUCCAUACAAAGUGCAUUUUCUAUGUUAUGUAUUAUCAAUAAAAAUGUUUCCGUUAUUGAACAUUGGUAGCAUCAAACCAGGAAGAAAAGCGCAAAUUAAACUUUAGAUGACAAGGGCCAAUAAAAACACCUUAAUGAAUGCUUUUAAAAAGACCUCAAGUGAGAACUGAGAGAAGUAGAGUAAUAAGAAGAGAAUAAUAGUGUCAUUUUAAGGGCAUUUGAGAACAGGAUCACAUUUUACCACAUUUCUGAGAAGCGUAAGCCAAGAACAGCAGCCUUGCCCUUCAUCUGCCCUCUCAGUUGCCCUCUGCUUUAGGCUGACAGAGGCUUCUCAUUACUGAGCAGCAAAACAGUUUGAACUAAUCUGGAUUAAAAUUAAUCAUGGCUAUUUUUUCUUUUGAGCGAACUUUGAAGUGGACCCAUUCUCCCUUUUACCUCAUUGCUUGGCAAUGCAAAUACUUAUACUGGCAGCAGGCAGGGAGCAACAAGGGGACAAGAGCAAGCAUUUGGGAACAGAGAAAGGGCAGGGCUGUUCUUUUUGGCAGCAGUGCUGUACUGCUUGCAGAAUUGCAAUGUUAAAGCAUCCCAUCCCAACUCUGUUAGGUUAUUUCUGCUUAUGCUAACAGAACCAGAGCAGAGCAAGCUACGCUGGUGGGAGGUUUGAACAAGACAAUCAAACCCCACACUGUUACAGUGGCCAGGGUGUUCAUUGCUAGUGAGGGCUCCAGUAGUAAAUAGUUUAAAAGCCAGCAGUGGAGCAAUCAGUCAUGUAGCUUUUGUGAAGCGAUGUGGAGACCAAAUUCAGAUUUGUGCUGCAGCUGGUUAGCACUGUGCUGCUGACACAAAACAGCUCUAAAGCCAAGGUAGCCAAUUAAUGCAGGCAACUGGCACAGCAUGUCUUACACCAGUGCUCUCCUGGCAGCUGGUUCCUUCCCUGUCUGAAAAGGGAGUGUAGUCAAAUCAUCCCUGAUCUGACACUCUCCUGUCUGUCCCAGGGGCUCUUAUUUGUUGGUACAGUCCUGAGCCCAUACAUCUUAUCUAAAAUUGCUGUAAGAAUGGCAUGGGAGUGGAUGUUUAUACCUUCAGGCUGCUUCUGCUCUGAGCAAGGUGUGGAGUCCUUGGCUGCACAACUUUCCUGGUUCUACACAUAUGCCCUCUAACAAAGAAAACCAGGAAAAUUAAAUACCUUCCAGUAAAAGAAAAAUAUUCUCUUUAUUGUUUAUGUAUGUUGGAACACUUGACAACUGAUAGCUUAAAAACAUGCAUUUGAUGGAAAUGAGAAGUUGCUCAUGAUUUGGAAUACACAAAGCACUUAAUAGCUAUCUGAUCAUCUAACAGUACAUAGGAAGUUCGCUUCCUUGGGAUCUCUGGUCAGGACAAGCUACAUAGCUUGUUAAGGAGGUGCUUAGAGCAUGUAAUACCUCAUCUUUUUCCAUGAACAUAAAGUAUCUUUCACAUGAUCAAGAAGGCACCUCUAUUAUGCAAGUGAUGCCUUUUUCAGUCAUGAGUACAGGAAUCCCAUGCUUGAUGGUUCCCAGUCUGAUUAGUGGUGGGCUGAGAUGUGUGCUCACAUCGAGCCAGUCCUCGC